AUGGAGCCGGGGGCGAGCCCAGGGAGGGCGGGGCGUCUCGCGAGCCCGUUAGGAUCGCGGCUGCAGCCGGGAACGCCCCCGGAGCCGGAGAGGGCGGCGCCGGAAGAGGGGGCCUUUGGGGGGCUGGAAACACCUUGGUCCCACAGAGGAGAAAUAGGCCAGGCCAAUUCUCCCCCUGUAAUUGUCAACACAGAUACCGUAGAAGCCCCAGGAUAUGUGAACAUGACUGAGGGGGAGAUGGAAUAUGAGGAGAUCACAUUGGAAAGGGGUAACUCAGGUCUGGGCUUCAGCAUCGCAGAUGGCACUGACAACCCACACAUCAGUGGCAAUCUGUCCAUUUUCAUCACCAAGAUCAUUCCUGGUGGGGCUGCAGCCCAGGAUGGCCGCCUCAGGGUCAAUGACAGCAUCCUGUUUGUAAAUGAAGUGGACAUGCGUGAGGUGACCCACCCAGCAGCAGUGGAGGCCCUCAAAGAGGCAGGCUCCAUUGUUCGCCUCUAUGUCAUGCGCCGGAAGCCCCCGGCUGAGAAGGUCAUGGAGAUCAAGCUCAUCCAGGGGCCUAAAGGUCUUGGCUUCAGCAUCGCAGGGGGCGUAGGGAACCAGCACAUCCCAGGAGAUAAUAGCAUCUAUGUAACAAAGAUCAUGAAAGGGGGUGCUGCCCACAAGGAUGGGAGGUUGCAGAUUGGAGACAAGAUCCUGGCGGUCAACAGUGUGGGGUUGGAGGAUGUCGUGCAUGAAGGUGCUGUGGCAGCCCUGAAGAACACGUAUGGUGUUGUCUACCUAAAGGUGGCCAAGCCCAGCAAUGCCUACCUGAGAGACAGCUAUGCUCCCCCAGACAUCACAACCUAUGAGAGCCCUUCAAAUGCCAAAGCUCCCCAUGACCCAUACUGUUUAACCCCAUGACAUGCAGCCCCAUGACAUCCCUGUAGCUGUCCCUCUUCAGAUAUUCCCCAUGAAAUAGCCACAAUCGCUGAUC